AACGAACGCUGGCGGCAUGCCUAACACAUGCAAGUCGAACGAGACCUUCGGGUCUAGUGGCGCACGGGUGCGUAACGCGUGGGAACCUGCCCUUAGGUUCGGAAUAACUCCCCGAAAGGGGUGCUAAUACCGGAUAAUGUCUUCGGACCAAAGAUUUAUCGCCUUUGGAUGGGCCCGCGUUGGAUUAGCUAGUUGGUAGGGUAAAAGCCUACCAAGGCGACGAUCCAUAGCUGGUCUGAGAGGAUGAUCAGCCACACUGGGACUGAGACACGGCCCAGAAUCCUACGGAAGGCAGGAGAGGGGAAUAUUGGACGAUGGGCGAAAGCCUGAUCCAGCAAUGCCGGGUGAGUGAUGAAGGCCUUAGGGUUGUAAAGCUCUUUUACCCGGGAUGAUAAUGACAGUACCGGGAGAAUAAGCUCCGGCUAACUCCGUG
rnacentral:rRNA from 1 species